UGAACCGUUCAGAGCGUCUAGUACGGGCUUGCAAUAUAUGUCAACGUUGAUAGAAAUCGUAAGCACGCCAAACUAUUAGUUUCCAAGUUAAUUGGUAGUAUGAGUUACAUUUUUUUAUUAUAGUUCAUGCGAUAUCGUUUAUGCUACAACUCGAUUGUGCGAACUUCACUCUAGAUACUUUACCUCUUUCUAGCGCUUGUAAAAAGAAAGGGCAAACACACAUGUCAUUUUGGCGUCUUGAUUUUCGUAUAUUAUAUGUCAAUGACUCUUACCAAAAUAUAUAUGUCAAUCAAUGUCAAUGACUCUAACAAAAACAAACUGAAAUUUGGUUUACAAGCUUUUAUUUAUAAAAAUUAUAAAAUUAAGAAUGAUCCUCACAAGUGCAUCGCAAUUCGAAGUACCUAAUUGUAGAUUUUAUGGAAAGGAAUGGGGACCUAAACAAGCCUGCCGAUGGACCCCACGGCAGGUUAACUGCCAUAAAUAAAUGUCCGUACAUGGUGUAGAAUCUCCUACGACCUAUUCUGCACAUGUGGGGAGCCCAAGACGCUCUGUCGUUGGACGAAGCCCAAGAUGCCCUGUCGUCGGAAGAAGCCUAAUACUUGUUGCCCCACUGAGACCAAGGCAGAGUCCUAGGACAACCCGUCGACGCGUGAUUCGUCCGAGGCAGUCAACGCCGCGACGCUAUCGUCCUCUCGUGGGGAUUUAGGCCAUUUAUGUAAUGGAUAACUAUAUAAGUAAUAAAUGAUUAUUUUUAAA